GCCAAAGGCAGGCGCCAAACUGCUGAGCCACCCAGGGAUCCCCUCUGUUGCUAUUUCAUAGGGCUUUUAAGAAAGAAAAACUCCUACCUGGACAUCAGGGAAGGAAAACCAAGCAAGAAAGGAGUAUGUUAUAAAUUCCUGGGCUGGAUUUCAGCCAGCUGUUCGCUCUCUUCAGUCCUCAUUCCUUGCCUCUCCUGGCCCAGUCUCCAGAGAACAUCAACUGCAAGCCACAUGCUCACCAAGAUCAUCAUAAAAACAUUUGCAAACAGGGGCACCUGGCUGACUCGAUUGGUAGAGCAUGGGACUCCUGAUCUAGAG